GUCUGAAUAUGGGGGGACCAUCCUCCAAGGCUAAAUACUCCUGACUGACCGAUAGUGAACCAGUACCGUGAGGGAAAGGCGAAAAGAACCCCGGCGAGGGGAGUGAAAAAGAACCUGAAACCGUGUACGUACAAGCAGUGGGAGCACAGAGCAAUCUGUGUGACUGCGUACCUUUUGUAUAAUGGGUCAGCGACUUAUAUUCUGUAGCAAGGUUAACCGAAUAGGGGAGCCGAAGGGAAACCGAGUCUUAACUGGGCGUUAAGUUGCAGGGUAUAGACCCGAAACCCGGUGAUCUAGCCAUGGGCAGGUUGAAGGUUGGGUAACACUAACUGGAGGACCGAACCGACUAAUGUUGAAAAAUUAGCGGAUGACUUGUGGCUGGGGGUGAAAGGCCAAUCAAACCGGGAGAUAGCUGGUUCUCCCCGAAAGCUAUUUAGGUAGCGCCUCGUGAAUUCAUCUCCGGGGGUAGAGCACUGUUUCGGCAAGGGGGUCAUCCCGACUUACCAACCCGAUGCAAACUGCGAAUACCGGAGAAUGUUAUCACGGGAGACACACGGCGGGUGCUAACGUCCGUCGUGAAGAGGGAAACAACCCAGACCGCCAGCUAAGGUCCCAAAGUCAUGGUUAAGUGGGAAACGAUGUGGGAAGGCCCAGACAGCCAGGAUGUUGGCUUAGAAGCAGCCAUCAUUUAAAGAAAGCGUAAUAGCUCACUGGUCGAGUCGGCCUGCGCGGAAGAUGUAACGGGGCUAAACCAUG
rnacentral:rRNA from 1 species